GGCGGUUCUUGGGUGAUGCACCCUGGAAUUGGGCUCCCUCCUCUCUGGUUCUGGGGUGUGUCACCCGAGAACCACU
rfam:Myotis brandtii contig172349, whole genome shotgun sequence.